AACGAACGCUGGCGGCAUGCCUAACACAUGCAAGUCGAACGAGACCUUCGGGUCUAGUGGCGCAGGGGUACGUAACGCGUGGGAACCUGCCCUUAGGUUCGGAAUAACGCCCCGACAGGGGGGCUAAUACCGGGUAAUGUCUUAGGACCAAAGAUUUAUAGCCUUUAGUUGGGCCCGCGUUGGAUUAGCUAGUUGGUAGGGUGAAAGCCUACCAAGGCGACGAUCCAUAGCUGGUUUGAUAGGAUGAUCAGCCACACUGGCACUGAGACACGGCACUGACUCCUACGGUACGCAGCAGGAGAGAAUAUUGCACAACGAGCGAAAGCCUGAUCCAGCAAUGCCGCGUGAGUGCUGAAGGCCUUAGGGUUGUAAAGUUCUUUUACCCGGGAUGAUAAUGACAGUACCGGGAGAAUAAGCACCGGCUAACUCCGUG
rnacentral:rRNA from 1 species